rnacentral:rRNA from 1 species
UACGUAGGGUGCGAGCGUUGUCCGGAAUUAUUGGGCGUAAAGGGCUCGUAGGCGGUUUGUCGCGUCGGGAGUGAAAUCCACUGGCUUAACUGGUGGCUUGCUUUCGAUACGGGCAGACUGGAGGUAUGCAGGGGAGAACGGAAUUCCUGGUGUAGCGGUGAAAUGCGUAGAGAUCCGGAGGAACACCAGUGGCGAAAGCGGCCACCUGGACUGCACCUGACGCUGAAACGCGAAAGCUAGGGGAGCGAACGGG